rnacentral:rRNA from 1 species
ACGAAGGGGGCUAGCGUUGCUCGGAAUCACUGGGCGUAAAGGGUGCGUAGGCGGAUCUUUAAGUCAGGGGUGAAAUCCUGGAGCUCAACUCCAGAACUGCCUUUGAUACUGAGGAUCUCGAGUUCGGGAGAGGUGAGUGGAACUGCGAGUGUAGAGGUGAAAUUCGUAGAUAUUCGCAAGAACACCAGUGGCGAAGGCGGCUCACUGGCCCGAUACUGACGCUGAGGCGCGAAAGCUAGGGGAGCGAACGGGA